CAAUAGCGUAUAUUAAAGUUGUUGCGGUUAAAAGGCUCGUAGUUGGAUUUCUGUUGAGGACGGCCGGUCCGCACUAUGUGCGUGUAUCUGGUUCGGCCUCGGCAUCCUCUCGAAAGCCGUAUCUGCGCUUGACUGCGUGGUUCGGACUUCGGGACUUUUACUUUGAGGAAAUUAGAGUGUUCACGGCAGGCAAGCGCCUUGAAUAUAUUAGCAUGGAAUAAUAAUCUAGGAUCUUGGUCCUAUUUUGUUGGUUUCUAGGGCUAAGAUAAUGAUUAAUAGGGACAAUUGGGGGCAUUCGUAUUAACGCGUCAGAGGUGGAAUUCUUGGAUUGCGUUACGACGAACUACUGCGAAAGCAUUUGCCAAGGAUGUUUUCAUUGA
rnacentral:rRNA from 1 species